AUGGCUCAGGAUGAACGCUGGCGGCGUGCCUAACGCAUGCAAGUCGAACGAAGCUCUGGUACGGAGGCUUCGGCCAAAGCAACCGGAUGACUGAGUGGCGGACGGGUGAGUAACGCGUGGGCAACCUGCCCCAUUAUGGGGGAUAGCAGUUGGAAACGACUGGUAAUACCGCAUAAGCGCACGGGAAGGCAUCUUUCUGUGUGAAAAGAUUUAUCGUAAUGGGAUGGACCCGCGUCUGAUUAGAUAGUUGGUGAGGUAACGGCCCACCAAGUCGACGAUCAGUAGCCGGACUGAGAGGUCGGACGGCCACAUUGGGACUGAGAGACGGCCCAAACUCCUACGGGAGGCAGCAGUGGGGGAUAUUGCACAAUGGGGGGAACCCUGAUGCAGCGAACCGCCGCGUGAGUGAAGAAGUAUUUCGGUAUGUAAAGCUCUAUCGACAGGGAAGAAAGGCCCCGCAAGGGGAGAUGACGGUACCUGAAUAAGAAGCCCCGGCUAACUACGUGCCAGCCGCGGC
rnacentral:rRNA from 1 species